AUUCCAGCUCCAAUAGCGAAUAUUAAAGUUGUUGCAGUUAAAAAGCUCGUAGUUGGAUCUCAGGGUGAGCUCAGUUGGUCGGCCUAAUUGGUCAGAACUGGCUGACUCUCCCUUGUUUCUGAAUCCCGGUCGGAGUUAAUACUUCGUUCGUGGACUUCAGAUCGUUUACCUUGAAAAAUUUAGAGUGUUCAAAGCGGGCGUUUGCUUGAAUACAUUAGCAUGGAAUAAUGAAAUAGGACCCUGGUUCUAUUUUGUUGGUUUUGAGGACCAGAGUAAUGAUUAAUAGGGAUAGUUGGGAGCAUUCAUAUUUAAUUGUCAGAGGUGAAAUUCUUGGAUUUAUGAAAGAUGAACUUCUGCGAAAGCAUUUGCCAAGGAUGUUUUCAUUA
rnacentral:rRNA from 1 species